rnacentral:lncRNA from 1 species
CCGCUGUGCCGCGCUGCGGCCCUCAGCCAGCAGGCCCCGGCCGCACAGACAUGGGCGGCAUUGCCUGAGGGAAGGCUGGGCCACAGGGCCUGCCUGCUCCUCCUGUGCAGGUUAACUAAUGGUCACCACAGCUCCUGACAGAGCUGCCAUGCCCCCCGUGGCUGCAGGGGCCGAAGGGGGCAAAGGCUGGUGUGAGCGAGGUGCCUUCUCCUGGCGGGGGCCAUUUUGGACACAGCGCCAGAGCCUGUGCCCACGGUUUCCCUGCUACCCUGUCUGGGGCAGCCUCUGUCCCCCCCUGUGCCAGCAGUGUGGGGUCGUGGCAGGGAGAUUUCUCAGGUGGCGACCACAGGAGAGGAGAAAUGGACAUCUGUGAUUCUUGCAACCACACUAGGUCACCUCAGGAGGAACCUGUGCACUUGCUCCACUGGAGUUCCAGAUCUGCUAAACCAGCCAGGUGCUGUAUUAUUGUCUGUGAGUUUGGCAAUGGUGGCAGCUGCUCUCCAACAGACCCCAAGAAAAGAAGGAUCUCCUUCAGCAAAAUGGGGAACGUCAUAUAUUUGGGGUCUUACCAAAAUCUGGACAAAAUUUACUGACUCACUCAUUUACUCAUUUAAUUUACUCAUCUGGAUCAUAGUCUGCUGUUUGCAUAUCACUGGGCUGAUCUAACAGUUACAUCAUUCAUGGUAUCUUUCUACUUGCCAUUCAUUCAGAGUUAACACUGCUGAAAUGUUAAUUUAUAGCAGUUGGCUUCAUUGUUACGUGGUGGAAGCUUAAAGGCUAGCUGGUAAGACUCUACAAAUCCCAUUACAUAUCCCUAUUUUGGCCACCUUGAUAUGUAUGUUUUCAUUCUUGCCAUGUGGGUUAUAUCAGUAUCUUAAUGGCAAAGCUUUUAGCUUGAUUUCGAUCUCAUGUUUUCUGGUAUCCAUUUACAGUUUUUCAAUAAAAUAAUAAACCUGCAAUAAUAUAAAUGUGGU